GUCACGGACGAUGACUACGUCACUAGAGGUCUGAGGUCCAUAGCAGAAGAUGCCUCAUGUGACCCUCUCAUGCAGGGGUUGCAUGUCAGGCAUGUGCAUACAGUAGAUAUUAGCCAUGCACUCUCACCAUUUCAUAGUAGAUCACAGAAUCAAGAUACAAAUCUCCAUGCACGGAAAGGAUUUAAGGCAUUGAUCAAUCCUGAACAUAAAUAUUUGGCCAUCAAUGAUAUUUACGCACACACUGAAAAAUCUAUUCAGAAUGACUUACACAAAGGUUUAUAUAACCUUUAUCAAAGGUAAUUUAUAUAGUAAGAUUCAUGGCUGAAGUCUUCAUGAUGGUCAAGGCCUUAAUUUUUAAAAUUAUCAAUUUUUUUCUUUUCUUUUUUUUUAACUUGAAUUUUUUUUUAAUGAAAACUAUCAUGACAAUUUGUCUCUUAAAUGAAAGGAGAAAUGUAAAACUAAAUGGACAAAUAUCAACCUUUUUAUUAUCUUUGCUGUUGUGCCCUCCCUGGAUGGGUGCUGGCACAUGAUGUCUUGCCUGCUGGUCCGUGGUUGCACUCUCACCAUGUGGAUGGAGCUCGGCAGCUGAAGUAAGUGAAGCCAAAGAUCUGCUCUUCAUUUGAGUUUCUUUGAUAAGACACCCCUGCUGUGGUAAAGCCAUGCAUAGGCUCCUUUCAGCCCUAUUCAGACUGUGUGCUCAACGCAACAUGACCACAAACACUGGGUUAAGAAUAGCCAAAAUUAAGACAGAGAGGCAGGGUGGCACAAGAUCUGUUAGUUAUUCAACAAACGAGGAUAGGAAUUUGUGAGGAAGACUUUACAAGUGAGAUGAAUAGUUAGGCAAUCCAUCACAACUAUAGGUCUGAGAGUCUCAGGUCCACACCAGAACACAGGUACAGCUACAGCUGUGAGCUAGAUAUCAGAAGUGGUUUAAUAUGUUAUCUUGAUCUUUAUAUUCAUGAGUUUUCAUUUUAUUUUUAUAAGGUAGCUAAAAUAUAACAAACAAUAGCACAUUGCAAUCUCAAAUUAUGAACAAUACACACAUCCAAAUUUCUAAGUGCAUUUUGAAUAUGUAGACGAGAUCUUUGUCCAGUGAUCGAUUUCUUAUAUUGGCAGAGCAGUUCUUAUAGUUAUCUUCCCUUCCCCAGAAAAGAGUACCAUGCAUUAUGUUUGUGGAAAAAAACACAAAACAACAUAAUUAUCAUUGGAACGAAUAUAAUUAUGUGCCUAGUCUGUUUUGUUUACAUCUGUAUGUGAUAUCUCAAGCUGUCUUCCCUUUCCUACCUAGUCCUGACACCUCUGACUAGCCUUGGGUCUUUAGAGCACAUUAGGCUGUGUAAAUGCAGUUCAUGUUCUUUUCUUACUAUGAACACUUCUCCUUAUUGACAAAUGAAUCCCUAAUAACUCAAGGAUGACACCCAUGUUUAAUGACAGAUGUAGCAUGUGACAGAUUUUAUUAAUAUUCAUAAAAUUAGGAUAGAUAUGAUGACACACGAAAUAAGCAAAGAUCCUUUAGAUAGCUCUAAAGCAUAUUUAAGAAUAUCAAUUAAAAGCUUUUAUAAGUCAUGUUUAUCUAAUUAGUAUAAAACAAUAAGGAUCUCAAUAAAUAAAUAUAAAGAUUAAUGAAAAUUUGUAGGGCUUAUGUUGGAUAAAUGAUAACCCCUGUCGCAUAUGAAUCAAGGACCAUGACUCCUGGGCUGCUCUUACAUCUUAAAGCCUGUGGUUCAUGCUUGGCAUUCUGGUUAUAGAUGCCAGAUGAAUGUUUGUGUUGAUUAAUUUUACUAUAUUCCAUACCUGAAGUCUGCUGAAGGAGUCAUUGAUGAAAUAACCCCAAAGUAAAUCCAGUAUUUUUAUUUGUUGACUGGAAAAUAAAUACAUGACAAAUUCUAGAAAUAUGCACAAAAUAACUGCACUUAAGAGUAUCUAUUGAUGUGAUUGGUACCAUGUUGAACUGUAAGUUGGGAAUCUUAGAGCCUGUCCAUUAUCAAAUAAAGUUCGGGAAGAAACCAGGGGAUAAAUAUGGAGGCCUUUACUGAAGCAGAGAUCACAGAGGAAUGUUUCUCGUUCUUCAUAACUUUCAUAGCUUGUUUUUUAUAGCUCCAAAGAGUAUUUAACGCACACCAGAUCCUAGCAAGCACUUAUUUCUUUAGGUGCAUCCCAAAAUAUAUCCAAAUAUUCGAAAAUAUACCCAAAAAUGGAGUGUUGGUAAUGCUUUUCUGGUUUCAAAGUUCAUGUGUUCAGAAUAUAAGGAUCAAUUUUUAUGUCAUUAAUGGAUGUACACUGAAAUGUAUCUGUGCAUUGAGUUACACUAUCUCAUCCAUAACCCUGAUACUAGUGGCAGAGUCUAGGAAUAGUCUUCCUUUAUAAUUAGACAAGAACAUUAACAGAAGUAAGUUUGUAAGUCACUUUCUAACACCAAACUACUCCAGAGACUAGAGAGACAGAUAGCUCAGUGGAUAAAAGAACUUACUGUUCUUGUAGAAGACCCACAGUGGGCUGAAUCGCCCAUGUGACAGCCUGUAACUCUAGUUCUUAUGUAUCUGGUACCAUCAUCUGGUCUCUUUACCACAUACAUGUGUCACAAAUACAAAAUGCAGAUUAAAAAAAUCAUUAAAUAGAUAAAAAUAAAAUAAAUAUUUGAGAAAAUAAUUCCACAUGAGUUAUUAAAAUUAGUUAUACCAUCAUUAUAUUAAAAAAUACAGUAAUUUAUGAAAACAGGAUGACUGAGGAGUAGACAGGAAAGAAAACUGUAAGAACCUUCUUAGUAUGGUUCAGAGCUAUAUGUCUAGUGUUUUACAUCAUAAUAGAACAUAUAGUAGUGUCACACAUACAGAUGUUUGAGAAGAGGUGCGAGGCAAGUACACAGAUCAUCUGAACAAAGGAACAAAAUACCAAUUUUCUUUUGUUGAUCUCUUCUGUUUUGAACUCUCAGAAUGCAUUCUUCCACCAAGAUGAUUUACACAGCCUAGCUGGAUCAGGAGCCCCCUAAUAAGCUGCUUCAGAUUGUAAUAUAGACACAGUGUAAGUACAGUCCAUAUUCUGCUGUCGCUUCAUGUUGCAUUUAAAGGCCAUUUACUGUAUUGAUAAGGGCACUAUCUGUUUUAGGAAGAACAGUCAAGUAAAGGCUGCGUAUGGCAUGUGUUUGACGCACAAGGUUUAAUGAAGUUGUUUCAAAUUAAGGAUAUGUAUUGAAAACUGCUUCAUAACUCAAAAAGAAACUGAGGAACUCUGAAGUUUACUGGAAUCUCUUGUCUUUAGUUUUUUGGUGUUUUUUUGGUGGUUUUUUUGUUUUUGUUUUUGUUUUUUUUUUUUGUGAAUCACAAUGAUCCCAGUAGUACUUGUAAUCGUUUGCACACUAAAGAUGCCUACGUGAGUAGAGAAGCAGAGACUGAUGUUGGAUCAAUGAUGACUGUGGGUGCUGUAUGAGUCGUGUAUUAUGACUAUGCGUCUGAGAGUCUGAGGUUCACAUCGUAAUAUAUGUAGAGCAUCCUAUGAUCUUAGUGACAGAUGUUAGGAGUAGUCUACAUUUACAUGUAGAUAAAAUGGUGAUACAUUUGGAAAUCAUUUCUAAUAAGACAUAAUUCCAUAGCAAUAAUGUUAAGCACAUAGACUAAAUAGUGUUUCAUUCAGAUAUGAUAACUGGGGGUUCCCCAUGAGUGAUCUAAAAUUGUUAGCAAAGUUCUUGCUCACCUCAGAGCCAUGCCCAUUUGAUCUGUAAUGCAGAGAUAGUAAUAGAAUAAUGAAGACCUCAUGAGGGAUAUGGUGGAGAAUGACCCAGAGAAGCAGACGGAAUGCAGUUACCUAAACAGAAUCUUAACCUUUUUAUAAUUUUUCUGCUUUUUGCUCUCAGAAUGUAUGCCUGCAGGAUGAGUCCCACCUUCUUCAUUAGUCUUGAGGUUUGAGAUUCCCUGUUUGUGUCUGCAGGAUUCAGAUAGUGUGAGUAUAGUCUGUGUUCUUGUGUUGGAAUUCUUUUGCUUGCAUAAAAACAGGGUAGAAAAUAUUUCUGGGGCUGGUGAGAUGGCUCAGAGGUUGAGAGCACUGACUGUUCUCCCUGAUGUCCUGAGUUCAAUUCCCAGCAACCCCAUGGUGGCUCACAACCAUCUGUAAGGGCUCUGAUGCACUCUUCUGGUGUGUCUGAUGACAGCAGCAGUGUACUCCUGUUCCUAAAAUAAAUAAUUAUUUUAAAUACAUUAUUAUCUCUGAAGAGCAGAUGUAGCCAUAGGCAUAUAAGAUGUAUAUGAAGCACAAUGUUUAAUAAAAUUUUACCAAAUUAAGAUUGUGCAACAAUAGAGAUAGGCAUCAGUGCAGAAGAUCCCGUAGAGGUUUAACUGCACUCACGGAUCUUAUAGUUAGGGCUUGUCUCCAGUGGAGAUUUUCGCAAUGGUCCUAGUCAUCCAUUGCUCAAUAAUUUUACAUAGAUUAGUAGGGAAGAGGAGGACUGAUGUUGGAUCAAUGAUGAAUGUCUGUGAGCAUUCUUAGAGUCAUGAAUCAUGACGACAAAUUUAAUUCUGAGAUCAACAUCAUAAAGUAUCCAGUGACAGCUAUAAGAAGUAGUCUUCUUUUAUAAGUCAGUAAAUGUAAAUAAAAAUUGACUAGGAAGUCAUUUAAUCAAAAGGCAGCUCACAAAGAAGACUACAUAUAUGUAUAUAUGUAUAUAUGUAAGAAGAAAGUGUGACAGAGUAAUGACCAUGGAGGUGAGGGAUAAGAUGAAAUGAGCAGAAGCAGGCAGAAUACAUAGAUAAGCGAACGGAACAUCAAUCUCUUUAUAACCUCUUCUGUCUAUACUUCAAGAAUGGAUAUCCUGCAAGUCGGCUUCGUAGAGUCUCCCUUGAAAGUGGACCUCAUGAUCUAGCCUUUAUGUCCGUGGAUUGACACUGUGAUGGAUUCCCCCCAAGUUCAUUUAGAUAUUCUCUCUUAUUCAUAAAUGUCACGGUCAGCUCUGUUCUUAUAGAUACCAGGUGAGUAUAGCCAACGUUCUUUUGUUGCUUCAUGUUGCUUUUUAAUGGCUGUGCAUAUACUGAGAAAAGAAAGUCCAGUUAUUAUCUGGGAAGAGCAUCCCGCUUAAAGUGUUAAAUGGCAGUUAGAUGAAACAGAAUGUUUAUGAGUAUUUCCAGAAGAGGAAUGUAUAACAGAAAAGAUUCUAAUCAUGGCAAAAGAUCCUGAGGACCUUCAGAGUACACGCAACGAUCUUGUCCUUAGAUUGUGUCAUUUAUUAUCAUCUUAGAGGCACUAGUGAGAUUAAUUGCUC
rnacentral:lncRNA from 1 species